CGUAGGGUCCGAGCGUUGUCCGGAAUUAUUGGGCGUAAAGGGCUCGUAGGCGGUUUGUCACGUCGGGCGUGAAAACUCAGGGCUCAACCCUGAGCGGUGCGUCCGAUACGGGCAGACUAGAGGUAUGCAGGGGAGAACGGAAUUCCUGGUGUAGCGGUGGAAUGCGCAGAUAUCAGGAGGAACACCGGUGGCGAAGGCGGUUCUCUGGGCAUUACCUGACGCUGAGGAGCGAAAGCAUGGGGAGCGAACAGGAUUAGAUACCCUGGUAGUCCAUGCCGUAAACGUUGGGCGCUAGGUGUGGGGACCUUCCACGGUCUCCGUGCCGCAGCUAACGCAUUAAGCGCCCCGCCUGGGGAGUACGGCCGCAAGGCUA
rnacentral:rRNA from 1 species